rnacentral:rRNA from 1 species
CCUACGGGAGGCAGCAGUGGGGAAUAUUGGACAAUGGGCGAAAGCCUGAUCCAGCAACGCCGCGUGAGGGAUGACGGCCUUCGGGUUGUAAACCUCUUUCAGCAGGGACGAAGCGCAAGUGACGGUACCUGCAGAAGAAGCACCGGCCAACUACGUGCCAGCAGCCGCGGUAAUACGUAGGGUGCGAGCGUUGUCCGGAAUUAUUGGGCGUAAAGGGCUCGUAGGCGGUCCGUCGCGUCGGGAGUGAAAACUCAGGGCUUAACCCUGAGCCUGCUUCCGAUACGGGCGGACUAGAGGUAGGUAGGGGAGAACGGAAUUCCUGGUGUAGCGGUGGAAUGCGCAGAUAUCAGGAGGAACACCGAUGGCGAAGGCAGGUCUCUGGGCUGUAACUGACGCUGAGGAGCGAAAGCAUGGGGAGCGAACAGGAUUAGAUACCCUGGUAGUCCAUGCCGUAAACGUUGGGCACUAGGUGUGGGGGACAUUCCACGUUUUCCGCGCCGUAGCUAACGCAUUAAGUGCCCCGCCUGGGGAGUACGGCCGCAAGGCUAAAACUCAAAGGAAUUGACGGGGGCCCGCACAAGCGGCGGAGCAUGCGGAUUAAUUCGAUGCAACGCGAAGAACCUUAC